rnacentral:rRNA from 1 species
CAGGGAUUGCCCUAGUAACGGCGAGUGAAGCGGCAACAGCUCAAAUUUGAAAUCUGGCUCUUUUAGAGUCCGAGUUGUAAUUUGCAGAGGGCGCUUUGGCUUUGGCAGCGGUCCAAGUUCCUUGGAACAGGACGUCACAGAGGGUGAGAAUCCCGUACGUGGUCGCUGGCUAUUGCCGUGUAAAGCCCCUUCGACGAGUCGAGUUGUUUGGGAAUGCAGCUCUAAAUGGGAGGUACAUUUCUUCUAAAGCUAAAUAUUGGCCAGAGACCGAUAGCGCACAAGUAGAGUGAUCGAAAGAUGAAAAGCACUUUGGAAAGAGAGUCAAACAGCACGUGAAAUUGUUGAAAGGGAAGCGCUUGCAGCCAGACUUGCUUACAGUUGCUCAUCCGGGUUUCUACCCGGUGCACUCUUCUGUAGGCAGGCCAGCAUCAGUUUGGGCGGUAGGAUAAAGGUCUCUGUCACGUACCUCCUUUCGGGGAGGCCUUAUAGGGGAGACGACAUACUACCAGCCUGGACUGAGGUCCGCGCAUCUGCUAGGAUGCUGGCGUAAUGGCUGUAAGCGGCCCGUCUUGAAACACGGACCAAGGAGUCUAACAUCUAUGCGAGUGUUUGGGUGUCAAGCCCGAGCGCGUAAUGAAAGUGAACGGAGGUGGGAACCCGCAAGGGUGCACCAUCGACCGAUCCUGAUGUCUUCGGAGGAUUUGAGUAAGAGCAUGGCUGUUGGGACCCGAAAGAUGGUGAACUAUGCUUGAAUAGGGUGAAGCCAGAGGAAACUCUGGUGGAGGCUCGCAGCGGUUCUGACGUGCAAAUCGAUCGUCAAAUUGGGCAUAGGGCCGAAGACUAAUCGAACCUAUCUAGUAGCUGGUUCCUGCCGAAGUUUCCCCUCAGAAAGCAGUUACGUAUUCAGAUUUUAUGAGGUAAAACCGAAUGUGAAUUAAGAAGGCCC